CUCGCCUGCCAAGACAGAUGCUUUCCCUAUACUAUCCCUACAGGAAAGCAGUUGUCUGUUUGAACUGAUGUGCUUGAAGGGGUGUAUGUGGAGUGUCAUCUUCGAGGUCUGUGACGUCCUGAUGUAGGAAAGUAGGAGUCACGUCAACUAUAGUCUUAUCUACUGCUUUCUGUAAGUACUUCUGUAUGCAAGGGAGUACGCAACAGGUCAGAAAUAAGAAAAUGAUGGUCAUUAUAAGAACAGCUGUCCCCACCUGGAAGAGGGUCCUCUGCCAACCAUUCAUCCAUCCAAACCAUUUGUCCCAAGUGUCAGUGAC